rnacentral:tRNA from 1 species
GGGCUGGGGCUCAGCGGUAGAGUGCCCACCUAGCAUGUGCGAGGUCCUGGGUUUGACCCUCAGCACUACA